CGCCUCUCCAAAGCUGACGAAAAUCUUUUUAACAGAUGGUUGUCAAUCUGAAAUGAAGACAGAUUCAGCAACUGCACGGCCUAUAGCUCCCUCAGGGCGCCC